UCGCUGUCCGGCAAACGGGAAGUAGAUUACCAAUACGGGCCGUCACGCCCUUCUGCUGGCCACUCACACAACGACGCACGAGCGAGUAGCGGCCGCCCACUCGCGUUCUUUUCUCCCUCUCCUCCACCCUCCCUUCACUCUCCCCCCCCCCUCUGAUAAACAGAAGUACGAAGAGACGAGUCUCAAAGACGACGCUUCAGACCCUCUCGCCCAAACAUGCAGUCAGGUGCCCCGACGAUAAUGAGCGGCUUCCAUCAAGCCGACGCAGGGACGUCCAGCACGCAUUAUUUGCCAAAAAUCAGUUCUAAUCUUGAAACUGUCCGACUGGCCUACGGUGCUUUUCUGCGGCUUUGCCUGCACUCCACCGUGUACUACGGCAGCCAGGGCUUUGUCGCGGAGAAGGUGUUUGGCAACAAAGGCGCCAUGAUCAUCUCGGAGCGCGAGGCGAUGCGCUACGUCCUCUCCAUGGGGGCCGAGGUGGGCAUAUCGGUGCUCCUCAUGCCCGUCCGCUACCUAGCUGCCUCCACAACACCGCGCUUUAUGCUGGACUACAUGUUCACGCGUUGGUCGGAUGUGCUGGCGCUGCUCGAUCGCUUCAACCCUAGCACCUACGCCAGUUACGCCAUAUACGCCUUCGCAAGCUCGGACGACGAAUGGAACUUCGACUUCUUCACCUGGCAGAUUCCCUCGGUGCUGAUGACGAUCGGCAAGCUGAUUGCGCGCCGGCGCCUUGUAGGGUCAGCACGGUGCCGCACAAAACGGGUCUUUGGCGUGCUGCUGUCACAGCUGAUUUUGCGAGCGUACAUGUCGACCUUUUCCGUGAUGAUUCCUGAGCAAGGCUCUGAGGCGGUGGUGGCGAUAUUGGUGACUGUUUUGGAGGGCAUGGCAACUUCCUACCUGGCGCGGCACACGUGGCCGUUUCCGUGGGACGACGUUACGCACACUGCAUCCACGAAUACGACGAGCUCCUCUACCGCCAUGGUGUCGGAGGGGGCGGACACGCCGCCGCGAGACCACAGCAGAAGCACAGAGAAACCAUGCUAUGACGCAGACUGGAAGUAGGGCGUGCGCUGACGGAGGCCGAGGGAGAGGCGAAUGCGAGGGGUGGGGGUGGGGAACCGGAAAACGGGGGAGGCAUACAAAAGGCUCACGCAGCUCCCCUCCAUGCCGUUGCAGUAGUGCCUCGCUAAAGUGGAUCGCACAGCCCGUUGUCUACCCUUUCGUUGUCACCAGGUCAUAGCAGUUAAACGUGCUAUUCGAAAGGGAUAAAGACAGCGUAUGCAGUUGACUCUACACGGGUUGCGCUCUCUGGCUCGGGGCUCACGGUUUGUUGUUGCUCGCGGUGAUGGCUUUGCGCCUGGUGUUUCUUCUUUUUUUCCCCCCUUCUCCGCUUCGCUUUUUCUCUCCGUUCUCGUUCCUGUUAUUCCAUGUGCGCCUCUGAUCUCCGUUGUCUUGCUCGCCUCUUUCUUCUUCGUUUGUGUGUGCGUGUUUUGCUUGCUGGCUUGUGUGUCGCCCCCUUUCUUUUCUGCUUCCACUAUGCUUUUUGUAUGUGUUCGCGCACGUGAAGCUGCGCUCGUGUCUGAGAUGAAGGCGAUGCGCUUUGUUUGGAUGCUGUAGCUGCCGCUGUGGUUGCUGCGCCACGCAAAUCGAGGGCUUGCCGCUGCGUGAGGCCGCGUUGAUGCGCUGUAGACGCGAGCGGAGUGAAGGAGAGCUGGUUGGUUGGGCUUCUUCCCCACCCACCUGACACUUAUGUAAACGCAGGGCAGAUGCAGAUGUCAGCAGGCGUUGAUGCUCUUCCUCGCCAUAUAAUCUGCACCAACAGC
rnacentral:misc_RNA from 1 species